UAAGCCGGACGUUGUGCUUCCCACAUGGAGCUUAUGACCAUGGGAGAAGCAAGCAGGGAGAAAAGAAAACAACCGAGAGGAAUGCAUAAUUGCAAGCUGCAACAAAGGUCAUGGAGCAGAGGGGUCUGGCACAGCGAGAAUGAAUAACUCCGGCAAUCAGCCCAAGGGGUCAGGGAAGUCUUCUCUGAGGAAGGAGUAUUCCCUGAGAUCUGAAGUGGAGAAGAUGGGAUUCCUGGGGCAUGCGGAGAUGACCACCUGAGAUUUUCCCAUCUGAGGGGUGCCCGUCUGAGGUCUGCCAGUCCUCCUGAGAAGGCCACCUGGAGGAGUUAGUUUAUCACCCCAGGAGAAGGAAUCAAUGUAGGGAAGAGCAGAGGAUAUUAGGAGGGGCACCUGGCUUCUCCCCAGGACAUUCACCAUCCCUGGCCAUUCCUGAUGGCCCACUCCUUCCUGUGUGUCCCAGGAGCCCAGGCUACGCCCCUCCCGUGGCCUGCUUUGCAGUGCUUUGCCGACCUGUCUCUCUCCCCCACUUGCCACUGGGCUCUUUGAGGCACUGUGUCUUCUUCAGUUUUUGUUCUGUGCCUAGCACCUGCCAUUCACAUGAUAAGCAUUCAAUAAAUAUUUAUCAAAGGAUGAA